rnacentral:tRNA from 4 species
AGUCUCUUAGUGUAGCGGUCCAUCAUUGUGGGUUCUGGUCCCGCAGACCUCGGUUCAAAUCCGGGAGAGACUA